AACGAACGCUGGCGGCGUGGAUAAGACAUGCAAGUCGAGCGCUGGCUAGUAGGUAGCAAUAUUUACUAGUUGGAGCGGCGCAAGGGUGCGUAACACGUGGGCAAUCUGCCGUGAAGUUUGGGAUAACUUGCUGAAAGGCGAGCUAAUACCGGAUGUGGCUCUUGGGAGGCAUCUCCUGGGAGUUAAAGUUGGGGACCGUAAGGCCUGACGCUUCAUGAUGAGCCCGCGGCCUAUCAGCUAGUUGGUGAGGUAACGGCUUACCAAGGCAAAGACGGGUAGCUGGUCUGAGAGGACGACCAGCCACACUGGAACUGAGACACGGUCCAGACACCUACGGGUGGCAGCAGUCGAGAAUUUUUCACAAUGGGCGCAAGCCUGAUGGAGCGACGCCGCGUGGGGGAUGAAUGGCUUCGGCCCGUAAACCCCUGUCAUUCGCGAUCAAACGUUAUUAUUUAAAAGAUGAUGACCUGAUAGUAGCGGAAGAGGAAGGGACGGCUAACUCUGUGCCAGCAGCCGCGGUAAUACAGAGGUCCCGAGCGUUGUUCGGAUUCACUGGGCGUAAAGGGUGCGUAGGUGGUGAGGUAAGUCGGAUGUGAAAGCUCGGAGCUCAACUCCGAAAUGGCAUUGGAAACUACCUUGCUUGAGGGUUGGAGGGGGGACUGGAAUACUUGGUGUAGCAGUGAAAUGCGUAGAUAUCAAGUGGAACACCAGUGGCGAAGGCGAGUCCCUGGACAACACCUGACACUGAGGCACGAAAGCUAGGGGAGCAAACAGGAUUAGAUACCCUGGUAGUCCUAGCCGUAAACGGUGCAUGCUUGCUGUAAAAGGAAUCGACCCCUUUUGUGGCGAAGUUAACACGAUAAGCAUGCCGCCUGGGAAGUACGGUCGCAAGAUUA
rnacentral:rRNA from 1 species